rnacentral:rRNA from 1 species
UACGAAGGGGGCGAGCGUUGUUCGGAAUCACUGGGCGUAAAGGGCGCGUAGGCGGCCCUCCUUGUCGCGUGUGAAAGCCCCGGGCUCAACCUGGGAACGGCGCGCGAGACGGGGGGGCUGGAGUUCGGGAGAGGAGCGUGGAAUUCCCAGUGUAGAGGUGAAAUGCGUAGAUAUUGGGAAGAACACCUGAGGCGAAGGCGGGUUGCUGGGCCGACACUGACGCUGAUGCGCGAAAGCCAGGGGAGCGAACGGG